rnacentral:rRNA from 1 species
CCUACGGGAGGCAGCAGUGAGGAAUAUUGGUCAAUGGACGAGAGUCUGAACCAGCCAAGUAGCGUGAAGGAUGACGGCCCUAUGGGUUGUAAACUUCGUUUAUAAAGGAAUAAAACGAGGCACGUGUGCAUUUUUGCAUGUACGUUAUGAAUAAGGAUAGGCUAACUCCGUGCCAGCAGCGGCGGUAAUACGGAGGCUCCGAGCGUUAUCCGGAUUUAAUGGGGUUAAAGGGAGCGUAGAGGGUUUGUUAAGUCAGUUGUGAAAGUUUGCGGCUCAACCGUAAAAUUGCAAUUGAUACUGGCAGUCUUGAGUACAGUUGAGGUGAGCGGAAUUCGUGGUGUAGCGG